rnacentral:rRNA from 1 species
CAAAUCGCAUCGCCUCUCCAAGCAGAAGCUACGGCACUUCAAGUAGCUGCCCAAGUGAUUAAUACAAUCACAACAGGAGACACCAUCUUCUUCACGGAUAAUCAAGUUUUGGCCCAGGCUGCAGAAGCAAGAGAUAUCCUUAAAUGCCCUGGUCAUUGGGAGAUUAGAAGCCAACUGGCAAAUUUCUUUAGCUCUACUAGCAAGGCUCAGAUAAACGUUAGACACAUUCCCAGGGAGCUUAAUAGUAGGGCUCACAACAAUGCGGCUAGAUCAUACUUCUCUGAAUCAAAUACUAGUCCUACAAUGGUUUGUAAAAGUAGGUCCCACUCGGUUGAUCACUGUCCUAUGCUUCUGAAGCUAGGCAAUCUGAACAUCCGACAUUGUAAAACCAUGGUUGUAACUUGU